GUGUCCUGGUGCUGGCACGUUACUGUAUUUCUUCUCCUGCUCUGAAGCCAGACCCUGUGGUCUCUGGGCCACUACACAGGUGGCGGAGAGAGGCUGGGCUGACAUGAAGAGAUGCGUGCUGGAGCAGCAGGUUAAUCCAAGAAAAUUCAUAUUUUGGAAGAUUAUUUAUUUAUUUACUGCAUAGCUGGUGAGGAGGUUACACAAGAACCUUUUCUUAUUGUUAGUUGGAUUUGAAGAUAGCGACAGGCCUCUUCUCAUUGGCUUAUAACAACUGUAUGUCUAGAGGAAUCAAGUGCAGUGCUGUGAGCUGUUGCACCAGCAUGACUGAGGAGGCGGGCAAACGAAGUGCAAAGGCAAGGCUGAGCAGAUAGGAUGGAGUGCAAGAAAGGGGAAAAAAUUAAAUCAAUUUUGGCUUUAAA